UUUCCUUAGUAUAUGAUGAUGUAUUCGCUUUGAUUUUGGAUAGAUUCGAUACGCGCGGAGGUUAAUUUGAGGAGCAAAAGCGUCGCGAGCUAGAGAUUUAGUCAGUUCGAGGUGAGUAAUGAUAGUAAAUGAUAUCUUGAGGGUUUGAAACGCCUGAUUGUACAUCAUAGUACUAUAUUAAGGUGAGACACACACUGGAUGAUGAGCGUGGGGUCUUUUACUACUGGGGAUUGUUACCUGGUCCGUCCCAAUUGAUGAUUUUUUCGCAUAUCUGACUGAAACUUAUUUAUUAUCAUCACGAUUUGGGCUGAUUGCCAUAUUUGGGCUUCAUACUAAUUAUUUGAACCCCUUCGAUGAUGGUUGUUGAUAUUUCCUCACUUUUUUUAUUUUACACUUGAACUCAGCCAUGUAUUAAACUCAGUCAAGGUUAUUUUGCUUUAACACUAGAAAUGAUAUUUUCGAUUCUAUUUUGGGCUGAGCAACAUGUUUUACUGUUGCCAGAGGUGCUUAUGUGAUUUUUGACCAAGUAAGGUCGUGGGUUUGUGUUGUGAGGAUACUUUUGAAUCGGGUUGCACGCUAAAGCAGUGUUCUACUAAUACUAAUAUGAGGCCAA
rnacentral:lncRNA from 1 species